GAACGCCCGGGGCUUCGGCCUGGUUAUUCAUAACCCUUUGUUGUCCGACUCUGUUGCCUCCGGGGCGACCCUGCCUUCGGGCGGGGGCUCCGGGUGGACACUUCAAACUCUUGCGUAACUUUGCAGUCUGAGUAAACUUAAUUAAUAAAUUAAAACUUUUAACAACGGAUCUCUUGGUUCUGGCAUCGAUGAAGAACGCAGCGAAAUGCGAUAAGUAAUGUGAAUUGCAGAAUUCAGUGAAUCAUCGAAUCUUUGAACGCACAUUGCGCCCCCUGGUAUUCCGGGGGGCAUGCCUGUUCGAGCGUCAUUUCACCACUCAAGCCUCGCUUGGUAUUGGGCAACGCGGUCCGCCGCGUGCCUCAAAUCGUCCGGCUGGGUCUUCUGUCCCCUAAGCGUUGUGGAAACUAUUCGCUAAAGGGUGUUCGGGAGGCUACGCCGUAAAACAACCCCAUUUCUAAGGUUGACCUCGGAUCAGGUAGGGAUACCCGCUGAACUUAAGCAUAUCAAUA
rnacentral:rRNA from 1 species